AGUACUUCAGCUAUCUGAAGUGUGGAGAAUGGCCCAGGCAAAUCCAGCAAAAGAAGGGGAGAGGUCAUGCAAGACCAGAGAACAGGUCAGGGCAUAAGUCCUUUAGUCAGUCAUGGGAACUACCCCUAGCAAAGUGGGUCAGGUAAGG
rnacentral:lncRNA from 1 species